rnacentral:rRNA from 1 species
GGUUAAGCGACUAAGCGUACACGGUGGAUGCCCUGGCAGUCAGAGGCGAUGAAGGACGUGCUAAUCUGCGAUAAGCGUCGGUAAGGUGAUAUGAACCGUUAUAACCGGCGAUUUCCGAAUGGGGAAACCCAGUGUGAUUCGUCACACUAUCAUUAACUGAAUCCAUAGGUUAAUGAGGCGAACCGGGGGAACUGAAACAUCUAAGUACCCCGAGGAAAAGAAAUCAACCGAGAUUCCCCCAGUAGCGGCGAGCGAACGGGGAGCAGCCCAGAGCCUGAAUCAGUGUGUGUGUUAGUGGAAGCGUCUGGAAAGGCGCGCGAUACAGGGUGACAGCCCCGUACACAAAAAUGCACAUGCUGUGAGCUCGAUGAGUAGGGCGGGACACGUGGUAUCCUGUCUGAAUAUGGGGGGACCAUCCUCCAAGGCUAAAUACUCCUGACUGACCGAUAGUGAACCAGUACCGUGAGGGAAAGGCGAAAAGAACCCCGGCGAGGGGAGUGAAAAAGAACCUGAAACCGUGUACGUACAAGCAGUGGGAGCACGCUUAGGCGUGUGACUGCGUACCUUUUGUAUAAUGGGUCAGCGACUUAUAUUCUGUAGCAAGGUUAACCGAAUAGGGGAGCCGAAGGGAAACCGAGUCUUAACUGGGCGUUAAGUUGCAGGGUAUAGACCCGAAACCCGGUGAUCUAGCCAUGGGCAGGUUGAAGGUUGGGUAACACUAACUGGAGGACCGAACCGACUAAUGUUGAAAAAUUAGCGGAUGACUUGUGGCUGGGGGUGAAAGGCCAAUCAAACCGGGAGAUAGCUGGUUCUCCCCGAAAGCUAUUUAGGUAGCGCCUCGUGAAUUCAUCUCCGGGGGUAGAGCACUGUUUCGGCAAGGGGGUCAUCCCGACUUACCAACCCGAUGCAAACUGCGAAUACCGGAGAAUGUUAUCACGGGAGACACACGGCGGGUGCUAACGUCCGUCGUGAAGAGGGAAACAACCCAGACCGCCAGCUAAGGUCCCAAAGUCAUGGUUAAGUGGGAAACGAUGUGGGAAGGCCCAGACAGCCAGGAUGUUGGCUUAGAAGCAGCCAUCAUUUAAAGAAAGCGUAAUAGCUCACUGGUCGAGUCGGCCUGCGCGGAAGAUGUAACGGGGCUAAACCAUGCACCGAAGCUGCGGCAGCGACGCUGAUGCGUUGUUGGGUAGGGGAGCGUUCUGUAAGCCUGUGAAGGUGUGCUGUGAGGCAUGCUGGAGGUAUCAGAAGUGCGAAUGCUGACAUAAGUAACGAUAAAGCGGGUGAAAAGCCCGCUCGCCGGAAGACCAAGGGUUCCUGUCCAACGUUAAUCGGGGCAGGGUGAGUCGACCCC